UUGGAGGGCAAGUCUGGUGCCAGCAGCCGCGGUAAUUCCAGCUCCAAUAGCGUAUAUUAAAGUUGUUGCAGUUAAAAAGCUCGUAGUUGAAUUUCGGGAUCAAUAUUUCGGUCAUGCCGUUGGUAUGCACUGUUAUCAUUGAUUUCUCACCUCCUAAAGAACCGUAAUGCCAUUAAUUUGGUGUUACGGGGAAUUAGGACUGUUACCUUGAAAAAAUUAGAGUGUUUAAAGCAGGCUCACGCUUGAAUACAUUAGCAUGGAAUAAUGAAAUAGGACAUCCGAUUCUAUUUUGUUGGUUUCUAGGAUCGAUGUAAUGAUUAAUAGGGAUAGUUGGGGGCAUUAGUAUUCAAUUGUCAGAGGUGAAAUUCUUGGAUUUAUUGAAGACUAACUACUGCGAAAGCAUUUGCCAAGGAUGUUUUCAUUAAUCAAGAACGAAAGUUAGGGGAUCGAAGACGAUCAGAUACCGUCGUAGUCUUAACCAUAAACUAUGCCGACUAGGGAUCGGAUGAUGUUAAUUUUUUAAUGACUCAUUCGGCACCUUACGGGAAAC
rnacentral:rRNA from 1 species